GCCAAACAGCUAGCUCAAUUACCCAAUAACUAAACAAUAUAAAUAAAACAAAAUAAGCCUAACACCAAAAAUUAAAUCAUUCUUUUACCUUAGUAUGGGCGACAGAAAAGGUUACACCCGGAGCAAUAGAAAAAAGUACGCAAGGGAAAGCUGAAAGAGAAAUGAAAUAACUUAUAUAAGCACCAAAAAGCAAAGAUUAAAUCUUGUACCUUUCGCAUCAUGAUUUAGCCAGUAUACCCAAGCAAAGAGACCUUUAGUUUGAAACCCCGAAACCAAGUGAGCUACCCCGAGACAGCCUAUUAAGGGCCAACCCGUCUCUGUGGCAAAAGAGUGGGAAGAGCUCCGGGUAGAGGUGACAGACCUACCGAACUUGGUGAUAGCUGGUUGCCUAAGAAGUGAAUAGAAGUUCAGCCUCGUACUCCCUGAAUCAAAAGGUAUAAAAAGAUAUUAGAGGGAAAUAUAUGAGAGUUAGUUAAAGGGGGUACAGCCCCUUUAACAAAGGACACAACCUUUCCAGGAGGAUAAAGAUCAUAAUACAUAAGACAUCCUGUUCUAGUGGGCCUAAAGGCAGCCAUCUAAACAGAAAGCGUUAAAGCUCAGACAGAAAUAAGUUUAUUAUUCCGACAAGAAAUCUUACUCCCCUAAAUAUUAUUAGGCCAGCCCAUGCCCACAUGGGAGAGACUAUGCUAAAAUGAGUAACAAGAAGGCCAGCCCUUCUCCAAGCACAAGUGUAAGCCAAACCGGACCGACCAUUGGCAAUUAACGAACUCAACCCAAGAGAGUAGUGUGUAUUACAACGAAACCAGGAAGAACCCACAGUAAACCCAUCGUUACCCCCACACUGGCGUGCUAUUAAAGGAAAGACUAAAAGAAGGGAAAGGAACUCGGCAAACACAAGCCUCGCCUGUUUACCAAAAACAUCGCCUCCUGCAACACAACCAAGUAUAGGAGGUCCAGCCUGCCCAGUGACUACAAGUUCAACGGCCGCGGUAUUUUGACCGUGCAAAGGUAGCGCAAUCACUUGUCUCUUAAAUGGAGACCUGUAUGAAUGGCUAAACGAGGGCUUAACUGUCUCCCCCCUCCAGUCAGUGAAAUUGAUCUAUCCGUGCAGAAGC
rnacentral:rRNA from 1 species